GUGGUAAUGACUAACGCUGCUCUGUGGGUUGAGGUGGUCACGCUGCUCUGUGGGUUGAGGUGGUAAUGACUAAUGCUGCUCUGUGGGUUGAGGUGGUAAUGACUAACGCUGCUCUGUGGGUUGAGGUGGUAAUGACUAACACUGCUCUGU